UACGAAGGGGGCUAGCGUUGCUCGGAAUCACUGGGCGUAAAGGGCGCGUAGGCGGCCAUUCAAGUCGGAGGUGAAAGCCCAGGGCUCAACCUUGGAAUUGCCUUCGAUACUGUUGGCUAGAGACCGGAAGAGGUAAGUGGAACUGCGAGUGUAGAGGUGAAAUUCGUAGAUAUUCGCAAGAACACCAGUGGCGAAGGCGGCUUACUGGUCCGGUUCUGACGCUGAGGCGCGAAAGCGUGGGAGCAACAGG
rnacentral:rRNA from 1 species